rnacentral:rRNA from 1 species
UACGGAGGGAGCUAGCGUUGUUCGGAAUUACUGGGCGUAAAGCGCGCGUAGGCGGCUUUGUAAGUUAGAGGUGAAAGCCCGGGGCUCAACCUGGGAACUGCAUUUGAAACUGGCGGGCUUGAGUAUGGCAGAGGGGGGUGGAAUUCCGCGUGUAGCAGUGAAAUGCGUAGAGAUGCGGAGGAACACCGAUGGCGAAGGCAGCCCCCUGGGCCAAUACUAACGCUCAGGCACGAAAGCGUGGGGAGCAAACAGG